CCCCUUUCUCAGCAAGGUAAAUUUUUAGUGGAACCAUACACUUCUUUGAGAUUUUAGAACCAUAAAUUUUUCAGUGGAACCUGUAAUUUUUGCUCUUUAUGUUCUCUACAAAAUUUUUGGAUUCUGGUUAGUUGCUUGGAAAAUGGAAUGGGGGAGCGAAUGGAGGUGUAAUUUUUUGCCCACCAAAUGUUUGUUUUUAGGCUCACUUGGAAAGGUCACUUGUUUCCUAAACUAGAAAGCAAGCAUGUCGAGUC